rnacentral:lncRNA from 1 species
CCUAGGAAGGGGCAAGGGUCACUACAAUGUUAAUUGGUGUCUGCAGAUCAGACCCAUUUUUCUAUAGUGAAUAAUUUAAAAACAAUGUCAUUCAUUAAAUGAACCAAUGCCCUUGACUUCUUAAAAGAGGUGAAGGGAAUUAAUCACAGUAAGUUCUCUGAACAUAAAAAUUAACUAAGUUUAUAGUGCUGGAACUGAUGUGUGUGCGAUAACAGUACAUUAUAUUUGAAAGGAUGACCAGAAGACAGCAGCAGGAAUUAAACUAAAGCCAAGAAACUGAGCACAGCUCCUUGGACAAAUCUUAAUCUUGGCUGAUGCCAUAUCUGGUGGGGGUGAGCUGAAGUGUACUUCACUGUGCAUAGAGAGAGAAACCUGCUUUUGAAACUCCUUCCAGAAGCAUACUAUCUUUUCAUUUUUCCACCACAAAGAGAGCUCCCAGAUGAUUAUGCACUCUUCUGCCCAGUGAACAAAAGGAAGCAUAAUCUGGACUAACUACAGGUUGAAUAUCCCAGGUUCUUCUCAGGUUAUGGUUGGCUGAGCUAUACUUAUUGAACACCUGCUGUAAAUAACCAUCAUGAAGAUGAAGCCUUGUAGGUUCCAAUUGUGGUUUACCCACAGAGUGUUCUGGGCAAAUCACUCUGUGAUUCUGUUUUCCGUGUCAUUAAAAGAGGAGAGUAUUACCACCCUCCUAAAAUGGGUAUUGUGAGGAUUAAAUGGAAACAAAAUAGGUUUUGUGGAAAUUGUAAAUGUUACCUUAACACUACACCAAUGUUAGUUAUUUUUUCCCAGUAUCUGAAAUUUGGGAGGAAAGAAUAAAAGACAGAAAAAUGAAAAAGAAGAGGAAGAGAAGGAAGAAGAGAGGAAGGACAUGUUUGCUUCUCCUGCCAUGGCUGGAAGUUUCCUGAGGCCUCCCCAGCCAUCCUGAACUAGGUACCUGGUGCCAGUUCCUGAGACUUGAGGAUUCUGGUUGGUUCUCAGCACAGGAGUCAGCCUGCUCUGAUUUGCUAGUGAUGUCCUAACCAAUCUCCCUGAAAAAUUAUCUGUGAAAUUUAUUUCUAUACAUCCAACAAGCACAAUGAACUCUAGGUAGAAUAAAUUCAGUGAGGUCCACAUCAAGAACAUUGUAAUCAAACUGUUGAAUGUCAAAGACAGAGAAUCUUGAAAGCAACAAGAAAGAAUCAACUAUCAUGUACAAGGGAACCUUAGUAAGAUGAACAGUUGGCUAUUUAUCAGGAACUAUGGAAGCCAGAAAACAGUGGGCAUAUUUAAAGUGCUGAAAGAAAAGAACCUAUCAACCAAGAAUUCUGUAUCUGGCAAAAUUGCCCUUCAAAAGUGAGGAAGAAAUUGAGAUAUUCCCAAUAAACAAAAGCUGAGGGGUUCACUACAAGUAGACCUGCCCUGCAAGAAAUGCUACAAGAUGUCCUCAAGUUGAAAUGAAAGGACACUAAAUGGUAACUUGAAGCUGUAUGAAGAAAUAAAGGUCUACAGUAAAGUGCGUCUAGAGUGUUGACAGUUGUUUCCAUGGACUUCAAAUCAACCCAACCCUGUGAGCACAGACUUUCAGCACCAGAGUCAGAUUUCCCAAAAAUGCUAUUCUUGAAGCGUAGAGCCAGACUCACAGAUCCUGUAAAGAAAACAGAUCUUUCAGCAAGUGAAACACCCAAUCUUCCAUUGCAUGGGACUCACAGAGGUUCUGAGGGAGAGAUGUGAAUAGAAGGAGUGAUCAUCACUGUGGACUCUAUUUCUUCCAUCUGUGCGUGCAAGAUUUAUAUCUGUAUGUGUUUGUUUUAAAGUUUUAUUGAGGUAUAAUUGAUACACAAUAAUCUGUACCUAUUUAAUGUAUACAAUUUGAUGAGUUUGGACAUACUUAAAUACCUGUGAAACCAUCACCACAAUCAAGGUAAUAGACAUAGCCAUCACCUCCAAAAGUUUCUUUGUGUCCCUUUGUGGUUUGUUUCUGAGAUAAGAACACUUAACAUGUGGACUCUUGACACUCUCCUUGGAUCUCUUAAUUUGAUUGCUGUUGCUGUCACCACAUUGACUUCCUAGCCCUGCUGAUCCUCCUUUAUCACUAGCUCUAGAAAAAAAAACAAACCAAACACCACUAAUUCAUUUAUUCAGUAAUUCAACAAAAAAACCAUUGAGCACUUAAUAUUUGCAGAAUACAUGGCUAGAUGCAGAGGAUUCAAAGAAUUGAGUGAAGUCACAUAAAGUGUUAAGAACAGUGUGUGAUACAAACAUGAAAUAUGUUAGCUGUUAGAAUUUCAAACUCACUUCCAUAUCAAUUAUAAUAAGGAUUUCCAUAAAUAGCAGAAUAGUAUUUCUAUUAGAUGCUCACAGAUGCUAAUAAAACAGUAGAAUGGUAAAAACCAUGCAUCCCCCAAGGCAAGAGAAGGUGAGCUAUUUUGCCUCGGUGGCUCAAUAUUCCAUCAAUGGGUCCUGCUUUAAACUGCAAGUACCUGCCUUCCUUCUUUCAACAGACUGACUCCACGUUGCUUUAGGAAAGAUUCACUGAAACAAAGGAAUAAACCACCCAAGAUAUAGUGUUUUUAAAAACAUUUUUUAAUGAAGAAAUUAUUCCACUCCAAAAUAUAGACACACAAUUAAAUAGUUUAAUCACUUCAAAAUAUAACAUGUCCCCAGGAGGUUCCAACACACACACACACACACACACACAAAACAAUACUUAACAGCAAUACAAAAAUCCAUACAAUAGUAUUUUUUUUUUACAAUACCAAUGAAUAUUGUGAAAUCUUUAGUGUCUCUGAAUUGAUUAUUUCAAAUGGUGUCAAAUUGCAGUAGUCAUAAUUAAAAAUGUCUUACAGUUAAUUCGCCUCAA